AAAAAAAUCCGUGAAAAUGAAAACUUAUCCUCUUAUCUCGCCGGCCGCCUUCCUCCGCCUGCUACGCCGCACGCCCACGCCUCCCAUGACCGCUCCGAAUCUCAGGCAUGCAGCAGCUCGCCAUCCCAAGUCGCCGACGCCCAAGCGGCUGCUCGUCCGCCCCGGAUUUCCCCCUUCCCGCUAUCUGAAAUUGCAAAUCAGCGAGUUUCUACCGAACGCCCGGACCUCACCUGCAGGCCCCCGGCUCCAGCCGCCCAAAUCUCACCUAACCCUCCACUCACCCACCUGCGCCAGCUCUAGAGAAGGAGGCGCCGGUGAGCGCACGAUCGAUCUAGUCCGUUAGGUGGGGAGCAGCCAUGGCGGGGCACGGGGAGGAGGAGCCGCCAACGACGGGCAAGGUCGGAGGCGACAAGCUGAUACUGCGGGGGCUGCAGUUCCACGGGUUCCACGGCGUGAAGCAGGAGGAGAAGACGCUCGGCCAGAAGUUCGUCAUUGACGUCGACGCCUGGAUGGACCUCGCCGCCGCCGGGGACUCCGACGACAUCUCCCACACCGUCAGCUACAGCGACAUCUACAGGUGCAGUACCCCGCCCCCGCCCCGUCUCAGUCUCAUCAUGGUGCUGUAUAAAUUCAGUCCACCUUGUCACUGCUCAUCGAUCGACCUGCUUGGCGUCGCGGUACAGUUAGCUCACCAUCCGUUCCGUAUCAGAGAAUGCUGCCAUGCGUACGUUCACAGUGAUUCCUUGCCGAACGUUUCGAUUGCUAUGCACCUCAGAACUAACUCUGCGGUUGGUACCCUCGACCUGUAAUUAGUCCAUUAUAUAUGUAUAUGUUGCAUUUCCAGAGCCAAAAUAUUGUUGGCAACGGACCGUAUCGGAUGGUAUGACUGCGGUGGGAGUAGUUUGGCAUAGACUAAAUCAGAAUAAUGAUGUUUUCGUGUAAUUUACCAAGCAGUGUAAUUAGAUUCAUCUUGUCAGCACAGUGUACAAUCUCUGAGUGGAUCAACAGUAAGCUACUCCCUUCCUUUUGGCUUCCUGAUACCAAAGUAUGUCAUCCUGCAGGAUAGCCAAGGGUGUAGUAGAAGAUCCGUCCCAUAACCUUUUGGAGUCGGUGGCUCAAUCGAUUGCCAACACCACGCUGCUCAAGUUCCCUCAGAUCUCUGCUGUCCGAGUGAAGGUCGGGAAACCUCAUGUCGCGGUGCAGGGCGUCGUGGACUACUUGGGAGUGGAGAUACUGAGGCACAGAAAGGCAUGAGCUUGAGCAGAACUUCAUUUGGGAAAGCCUGGCCAAAAUGCCCCCUCAGAAUUGCAGUUGAGCUGAUUUCUGUGUCUCAUCUAUAAACGUGCUGUUGAUUGUCUUGUUACUCUUCGGCUGAUGCUGAAAUUGCCGCAAUCACGGGAAAAAGAUUGAUAGUGCUACGUAAUACUAGGUUUUGCGCAGACUGAAAUAAAGGUCAUCUUGCGAGUUGC
rnacentral:rRNA from 1 species